rnacentral:misc_RNA from 1 species
GGAGAUGUACGAUAUCUUCGGCAAAUACGGUGCUAUUAGACAGAUUCGUAUUGGUACGAAUAAGGAUACGCGUGGUACUGCUUUCGUCGUCUAUGAGGAUAUAUAUGAUGCGAAAACCGCCGUCGAUCAUCUCUCCGGCUUCAAUGUCGCUAAUCGAUACUUGAUAGUUCUGUAUUACCAGCAAGCGAAGAUGAGUAAGAAAUUUGACCAGAAGAAGAAGGAGGACGAGAUAACGAAGCUGCAGGAGAAAUAUGGCAUUCCCAAAGAUAAGUGAUAGAGAAACUUCUGUUACUGGUUUCUUUCCUUCAUUAUGUAAAUUGAGCCAGUCUUAGCAAGAAGUGCAUGUCACCUUUGGUGGAAACUGAUCAAGGCACCCCGGCCACCGAAUUAUCAGACAGAGUAGCUUGUAGUGCUGUAUCUUAUUCGAAGUUUUUAACGGAUAGUUUAUGAAAUGAUUGAAUGUUGUCAGAUGUUUCUACCUAUAUCACGAUGUUUUUCUCUCUGUCUCUCCUUGCUGUAGUUACCUUAAGAUUAU